AUUGAACGCUGGCGGCAGGCUUAACACAUGCAAGUCGAGCGGGGUGAAGUGCUUCGGUACUGAUCCUAGCAGCGGACGGGUGAGUAAUGCUUAGGAAUCUGCCAUUUAGUGGGGGACAACAUUCCGAAAGGAAUGCUAAUACCGCAUACGUCCUACGGGAGAAAGCAGGGGAUCUUCGGACCUUGCGCUAAAUGAUGAGCCUAAGUCGGAUUAGCUAGUUGGUGGGGUAAAGGCCUACCAAGGCGACGAUCUGUAGCGGGUCUGAGAGGAUGGUCCGCCACACUGGGACUGAGACACGGCCCAGACUCCUACGGGAGGUAGCAGUGGGGAAUAUUGGACAAUGGGCGGAAGCCUGAUCCAGCCAUGCGGCGUGUGUGAAGAAGGCCUUUUGGUUGUAAAGCACUUUAAGCGAGGAGGAGGCUACCUGGAUUAAUACUCUAGGAUAGUGGACGUUACUCGCAGAAUAAGCACCGGCUAACUCUGUGCCAGCAGCCGCCGUAACAC
rnacentral:rRNA from 1 species